UCCAAUGUGGUGUAGUGGCUAACAUUGCUGUCUUUCACACCUCGGGUCUCCAAGCUCUUCCUGCUUGUACAAAACAGGAAGAGCUUGGGUGCCUUUGUCUGAUCACAGCAGCCCGGGGUUCGAUUCCCCGCAUUGGAA